CCUUCGAGGGAGAAACCACUAGCCAAUCGUCGAUAUAUGGAUAGACGUGGAUGCCGUUGAGGCGAAGAUAGGCAGCUACUGGAGCCAUCACCUUGGUAAAGGUCCUGGGAGCUGUGGAAAGGCCGAAUGGCAGAGCUUGAAACUGGUAAAUCGUGUCCUGAAAGAUGAACCGAAGAUAUUUGCGGUGAUCGGGAUGGAUGGAAACAUGGAAGUAUGCGUCCUUCAGGUCUACGAGGACGAACCAGUUGUCUGUACUCAACAAGUGGAGGAUGGAUUCUAAGGUCACCAUUCGAAACCGUCUGGAACGCAGGAGCUUUAAAGGACUGGCGACGUUGUGCCUGCCGAGUUCUGAAGCUGGGAGCAGAAGAGGAAGAAUGACUGGAGCGUUGCUGUGCUCGAGAAGAUUCCGAGAGGACCAAUGCUAGCG